rnacentral:rRNA from 1 species
AGAGUUUGAUUAUGGCUCAGGACGAACGCUGGCGGCGUGCCUAACACAUGCAAGUCGAGCGGGCAUAGGGGUAAGCUUGCUUACUCUUAUGGUUAGCGGCGGACGGGUGAGUAACGCGUAGGCAACCUACCCAUGAGACCGGGAUAACCCUGGGAAACCGGGGCUAAUACCGGAUACGCUCCUUUUAGGGCAUCCUAGGGGGAGGAAGUGCCUAACCGCUCAUGGAUGGGCCUGCGUCCCAUUAGCUAGUUGGUGGGGUAACGGCCUACCAAGGCGACGAUGGGUAGCCGGCCUGAGAGGGUGGUCGGCCACACUGGGACUGAGACACGGUCCAGACUCCUACGGGAGGCAGCAGUGGGGAAUAUUGCACAAUGGACGAAAGUCUGAUGCAGCAACGCCGCGUGGAGGAUGACACAUUUCGGUGCGUAAACUCCUUUUAUAUAGGAAGAUAAUGACGGUACUAUAUGAAUAAGCACCGGCUAACUCCGUGCCAGCAGCCGCGGUAAUACGGAGGGUGCAAGCGUUACUCGGAAUCACUGGGCGUAAAGAGCGUGUAGGCGGGUAUAUAAGUCAGAAGUGAAAUCCAAUAGCUCAACUAUUGAACUGCUUUUGAAACUGUAUACCUAGAAUGUGGGAGAGGUAGAUGGAAUUUCUGGUGUAGGGGUAAAAUCCGUAGAGAUCAGAAGGAAUACCGAUUGCGAAGGCGAUCUACUGGAACAUUAUUGACGCUGAGACGCGAAAGCGUGGGGAGCAAACAGGAUUAGAUACCCUGGUAGUCCACGCCCUAAACGAUGUACACUAGUUGUUGUGAGGCUCGACCUUGCAGUAAUGCAGUUAACACAUUAAGUGUACCGCCUGGGGAGUACGGUCGCAAGAUUAAAACUCAAAGGAAUAGACGGGGACCCGCACAAGCGGUGGAGCAUGUGGUUUAAUUCGACGAUACACGAAGAACCUUACCUGGACUUGACAUAGUAAGAACUUUCUAGAGAUAGAUUGGUGUGCUUGCAAACUUAUAUACAGGUGCUGCACGGCUGUCGUCAGCUCGUGUCGUGAGAUGUUGGGUUAAGUCCCGCAACGAGCGCAACCCUCGUCCUUAGUUGCUAACAGUUCGGCUGAGAACUCUAAGGAGACUGCCUACGCAAGUAGGAGGAAGGUGAGGACGACGUCAAGUCAUCAUGGCCCUUACGUCCAGGGCUACACACGUGCUACAAUGGGGUAUACAAAGAGCAGCAAUACGGUGACGUGGAGCAAAUCUCAAAAAUAUCUCCCAGUUCGGAUUGUAGUCUGCAACUCGACUACAUGAAGUUGGAAUCGCUAGUAAUCGUAGAUCAGCUAUGCUACGGUGAAUACGUUCCCGGGUCUGUACUCACCCCCGUC